UUGAGUACUGGUAUGAAUGAUUUUACAUUUAAAUUAUUUCUUUUUAUUGUUAUUWAAUUUAGGGUUUUAGUUAAAACUCUUUAAUACAUAAAAAAGACGAUAAGACCCUAAAAGCUUUAUUUUAUUUGUUUAAUCUUAAAUAAAUAUAUUUUUUACUGGGGUAGUUUUUUUAUUAGUUUUAAUAAAUUAGACUUUUAGAUAAAAUAUUCCUUAUAAUUAGGAUUUAAAUAAGUUACUUUAGGGAUAACAGCACAAUAUUGUUGGAGAGAACRUAUCUAUGAUAGUGAUUGUGACCUCGAUGUUGAAUUAAUAUAUCUUUUUAAAGCAGAUUUUAGACGAGAGGGUUUGUUCAACCUUUAAU
rnacentral:rRNA from 1 species